GGGAAUCCGGUGCGAAUCCGGAACUGUCCCGCAACGGUGUGCCCAUGCCUUCUUAUGCGUGUAUGGGAGUCAGUCCGAGGACC
rnacentral:ncRNA from 1 species